ACCUCGACGACGUCGUCGCCCUCGGCUACCCGGAUCUCGGUGCCCCCGCCUGGAUCUGGAAGCAGGCUCCACGACGACGACGGGCGCCCGCCGUUCUCUGCCCACGGCCUCCACCGGCUUCCCUUCCGCCGUCGCCGCCUCGAGCUCGUCCCACCCCCCUCCCGCCGGCCCUUGCUGAUCUGCUCCACCCAAGCCGCCGCGACGCCGCUCCGCCAACCUCGUGGGGCGCUCGGUUCUCAGCCACCGGCUCCCGUCGCCCUGCAACCCCCUCCCCGUCGUCGACAUGGUGGCCGCCUCCAUGGCUCCCCAACGGUGGUCGGUGGUGGCGAUGGCGGUCAAGGCCGCUGGCUCGGUGAGGUCUGGCCCUCACCUAAGGUUUCUUGCUUGGACAUCUCUGGUUGCAAGGAUCUCUUUCGGCACGACUAUCAAGUUGCCAGGUAAGAGCAACCCGUUUUACCUUGUUUUAGUUUUGUUCAGAACUAAAAAUUGCUUGGUGCUUUGAAGAGAUAUGAUUUUUACCUAUUUUUAGUUUGAUUCAAAAUCGAAAAUUGCUUGGUGCUAUCAAGAGGUAAUUUUAUUCAACACGCCAUCACAACCAUCCGUCUGAAUAUGUUCCGCAUGAUAGUGCAUUUGCUUAGUUAUAUGCUAAUAUGAAUAUAUGACUAGUUAUUUGCCGUAGCUAUGACGUGCAGUCCAUAUAUGGAACCAAUCAAUCACUGUAAAAAAAUGAAUUUAUCUCUGACUUCCUACCAGCAGUCUAGCAACAAGCCUGACCACAAUGAAAUUCUUUUUUUUUUUUUGAGAGCUCUCCACUUUGAGUACAAGCUGUAGUAUCUAAACAUACGUCGCACUCCACACACACACACCCCUACACGCAUGCUAGACCUAUCAACUAUACACACGUGCUAAUGAGAUACACAAAGCCACCUAAGGAUCUUGUGCGCUAUUGUGGCGCUGGCACGGGAGAGCUGGAAAUUUAUUUAUUUGGGAAUAAAUCCCGGUGAGACGCGCGGGUGACGAUCCCAGGGAUCGAACCCGCGCGGGCUGCUCGCUCACCAGCGAUGCUAGCCAACCGAGCAACGCUCGGUUCUCACCACAAUGAAAUUCCUGCAGGAUGCAUUCAACACCUCCUUACUUUUCCGGUCUGAAUUUUAUAUUUUAGUUGUCAAUUGGUCUGUGCAAUGUUGAGGAAUUUGGAACUGGAACAAGAGGAGAUUCUAUAUACAAUUAUUGCACAAUGUCAUUGAUUGCAGGCUAGGAGUACAAACUUGGUUGCACAGCUGAAGAAUAGCAUGGUAAACAAAUCCCAUUUUUUCUUCUUUCUAAAAUCCUAGCAUUGUCUACUGGAUCGAACCAUUGUUGUUGUCGAUAAGAUCCAAGUCUCACUACUUCACCAUUUCUACGGAGGGAAUGCGGAGUGCGGAAAAAAGAAAAAAAUGAAACGGAGAAAAAAAAGGAACGGAGGGAAUAUGGCGUAACGAA
rnacentral:lncRNA from 1 species